rnacentral:piRNA from 1 species
UUUUCAAUCCAAUUUAUUUCC